rnacentral:rRNA from 1 species
GACGAACGCUGGCGGCGUGCUUAACACAUGCAAGUCGAACGCUGUGGCGAACGGUUGCGUAAUACGUGAGUAACCUUCCCUCCUUUUUGGGAUAAGCCUUGGAAACGGGGUCUAAUACCGAAUAAAGGCGGUCGGGCUCGCGUCCUAUCUGCUUGGUGGUGGGGUUAUGGGCUACCAAGGCGGUGACGGGUAUCCGGCCUGAGUGGGUGACCGGCGACAUUGGGACGGAGAUACGGCCCAGACUCCUACGGGAGGCAGCAGUGGGGGAUAUUGGACAAUGGGCGAAAACCUGAUGGAGCGACGACGCGUGGGGGAUGAAGGCUUUCGGGUUGUAAACCUCUUUCGCUAUCGAAGGGGUAGGUGGAGAAGAAGCGCCGGCUAACUACGUGCCAGCAGCCGCGGUAAUAC